CCAUUAUUUAUAAAUUUGUUAGUUCUUUCUAACUUGGAAUUAUGUUUGCUAGGAAAUCUCAAAUUCUGAUCUCCUUGUUAUCUUUCGUUACCAAAUAUUAUUUUUCACUCUCUUGUUAUUAUCUUUCUUAAUGUGUAGAAAAUUAACCAAUGCAUCAAUAAAAGUCAUUGCUGAGCACUGUCCUGGGUUGUGUGCACUCGAUCUUAUGUAUUUGGACAACUUGACGGAUUUAUCCAUGGGAUAU
rnacentral:lncRNA from 1 species